UUAGUAAACGGAAGCUUCGGUGGAAGAUUACUAAUGAGAGUGGCGAACGGGUGAGUAACGCGUGAGCAACCUGCCUAUGACAGUGGGAUAGCCUCGGGAAACCGGGAUUAAUACCGCAUAAAAUCGUAGAAACACAUGUUUUAACGGUCAAAGAUUUAUCGGUCAUAGAUGGGCUCGCGUCUGAUUAGCUAGUUGGUGAGAUAACAGCCCACCAAGGCGACGAUCAGUAGCCGGUCUGAGAGGAUGAACGGCCACAUUGGAACUGAGACACGGUCCAAACUCCUACGGGAGGCAGCAGUGGGGAAUAUUGCACAAUGGGGGAAACCCUGAUGCAGCGACGCCGCGUGAACGAAGAAGGUAUUCGUAUCGUAAAGUUCUGUCCUAUGGGAAGAUAAUGACAGUACCAUAGAGGAAAGCUCCGGCUAAAUACGUGCCAGCAGCCGCGGUAAUACGUAUGGAGCGAGCGUUGUCCGGAAUUAUUGGGCGUAAAGGGUACGCAGGCGGUUUAAUAAGUCGAAUGUUAAAGAUCGGGGCUCAACCCCGUAAAGCAUUGGAAACUGAUAAACUUGAGUAGUGGAGAGGAAAGUGGAAUUCCUAGUGUAGUGGUGAAAUACGUAGAUAUUAGGAGGAAUACCAGUAGCGAAGGCGACUUUCUGGACACAAACUGACGCUGAGGUACGAAAGCGUGGGGAGCAAACA
rnacentral:rRNA from 2 species